CCUACGGGUGACAGCAGUGGGGAAUAUUGGACAAUGGGGGGAACCCUGAUCCAGCGACGCCGCGUGAGUGAAGAAGUAUUUCGGUAUGUAAAGCUCUAUCAGCAGGGAAGAAAAAAAUGACGGUACCUGACUAAGAAGCCCCGGCUAACUACGUGCCAGCAGCCGCGGUAAUACGUAGGGGGCAAGCGUUAUCCGGAUUUACUGGGUGUAAGGGGAGCGUAGACGGCGAUGCAAGUCUGAAGUGAAAGGCGGGGGCCCAACCCCCGGACUGCUUUGGAAACUGUAUGGCUGGAGUGCAGGAGAGGUAAGUGGAAUGCCUAGUGUAGCGGUGAAAUGCGUAGAUAUUAGGAGGAACACCAGUGGCGAAGGCGGCUUACUGGACUGUAACGGACGUUGAGGCUCGAAAGCGUGGGGAGCAAACAGGAUUAGAUACCCCUGUAGUC
rnacentral:rRNA from 1 species